CGAAAAAUAAUAUAUUGAUAACUAAAAUCUGAUAUAUUUUUUUAAUAAGUGUAAAAAUCUUAAAACACACAUGUUUUUGAAACAGACGGAAUAUUUACCAAUUAUAGACUUUAUCUAGUUUGACAGGUCCACUAGAAUUUUAUGCAAACUGUGUUUCCAAAUAUCAUUUUUUCUCUUAUUCAAUUUUUCUUAUAUCUGAUAAAUUGAAGCAAACCUAUAUGUGUGAUUAUUUCAGUCAGUCGCUUAAUAUUGUAACUCUGGGCCACGUUGGUUUCUAAUGGGUCAAUUAAAAAAAUUGUUUUUGAUCGCAUGCUAUGUUAGACCAUAUGGUAGACGGCAGUUCGCGUAAGCCAGCCGAUAUUUCUCUUUAUUAACAAAUCAAAUUGUAGGUUCUUGGAAAGAUAUGAGAAAGACUGCAUGAGCCUUCCUACUACCCUUUCACUAUUCUUUGGCUGGCAACCUCCUCUCAUAGCUGCUUCCCAGUCCACUCCAGAUAACGACCGACUUGUCUACUUGUGAUUUUUAAAAGAAAAUCAAUUAUUUAUCCAUUUGGUUACAACUAUUCAACGUGGCUCGGUUUUGACAUUGGCCCCACUCAUCGUGUCUCUAUUUUUAAUCAGCAACUUUCCAGCAACGACGUGACCAGUCUCUUAAAUCGUGUCUCUAUUACUGUUACCAUUGAUCACAAUCAUUCAACAAACUAAAAAAGUGCGUCAACAUUUUCAUAAACCUCAUAAUCAUAUUGAUGGUAGAACUGGCUCAUUUAUAUGGUUUGGGUCCUACUCUCUCCUUGACCCAUGCGCUAUCUUCCAACCUCAUCAAUGCUGUAACGCAAACUCGAUAGGUCCUCUUCUUUUUCUUUUGAUUUUGAGUUCUUGUUCUUUACC
rnacentral:lncRNA from 1 species